UACGGAGGGUGCGAGCGUUGUCCGGAAUCAUUGGGCGUAAAGGGCGCGUAGGUGGCCCGGUCAGUUCGUGGUGAAAGCGCGGGGCUCAACCCUGCGUCGGCCAUGAAUACUGCCGCGGCUGGAGCACUGUAGAGGCAGGCGGAAUUCCGGGUGCAGCGGUGGAAUGCGUAGAGAUCCGGAAGAACACCGGUGGCGAAGGCGGCCUGCUGGGCAGUUGCUGACACUGAGGCGCGACAGCGUGGGGAGCAAACAGG
rnacentral:rRNA from 1 species